GGAGCAGGCUGGAUGAUCGCUGGUGCCUCUCCUUGAUUGUUUAAGGGGAGGUGCGGGAGGAAAGUCCGAACACCAUAGAGCGGGAUGCUUCGUAACGCGAAGUCCUGGCGACAGGCAGGCUAGUGCCACAGAAAACAGACCGCCAUCGGUUUUAGGUUGAUGGUAAGGGUGAAACGGUGAGGUAAGAGCUCACCAGUAGCGAUGGUGACAUCGUUAGCUUGGUAAACCCCAUCCGGUGCAAGGCCAAAUAGGCUUCGUUUUCUUCUUGAUGGAGAUUGAGGCGGCUCGUCUCAAGUUGUCGGCUGGAGACAGCUGGUGCGGCGAAGCGGGUAGGCUGCUUGAGGUUGCGGGUGACUGCAACCCUAGAGGAAUGGUCAUCACUUCCGCCUGGCGGAAGCACAGAAUUCGGCUUACAGGCCUGCUCCGGCC
rnacentral:RNase_P_RNA from 1 species